rnacentral:rRNA from 1 species
ACGAACGCUGGCGGCAUGCCUAACACAUGCAAGUCGAACGGGAUCCUGGUUUCGGCCAGGUGAGAGUGGCGGACGGGUGAGUAACGCGUGGGAACCUGCCCAAUGGUCUGGGAUAACCGCGGGAAACUGCAGCUAAUACCGGAUAAGCCCGAGAGGGGAAAGAUUUAUCGCCGAUGGAGGGGGCCCGCGUCCGAUUAGGUAGUUGGUGAGGUAACGGCUCACCAAGCCGACGAUCGGUAGCUGGUCUGAGAGGGAUGAUCAGCCACACUGGGACUGAGAUACGGCCCCAGACUCCUACGGGAGGCAGCAGCGGGGAAUAUUGGACAAUGGGGGCAACCCUGAUCCAGCAAUGCCGCGUGAGUGAUGAAGGCCUUAGGGUUGUAAAGCUCUUUUGGCGGGGACGAUGAUGACGGUACCCGCAGAAUAAGCCCCGGCUAACUUCGUGCCAGCAGCCGCGGUAAUACGAAGGGGGCGAGCGUUGUUCGGAAUUACUGGGCGUAAAAGGGCGCGUUAGGCGGCGACCCAAGUCAGAUGUGAAAGUCCUGGGCUUAACCUGGGGACUGCAUUUGAUACUGGGUUGCUUGAAUUCGGGAGAGGAUAGCGGAAUUCCCAGUUGUAAGAGGUGAAAUUCGUAGAUAUUGGGAAGAACACCGGUGGCGGAAGGCGGCUAUCUGGACCGACAUUGACGCUGAGGGCGCGAAAAGCGUGGGGAGCAAACAGGAUUAGAUACCCUGGUAGUCCACGCCGGUAAACGAUGAAUGCUAGACGCUGGGGGAGCAUGCUCUUCGGUGCCGCAGCUAACGCAUUAAGCAUUCCGCCUGGGGAGUACGGUCGCAAGAUUAGAACUCAAAGGAAUUGACGGGGGCCCGCACAAGCGGUGGAGCAUGUGGUUUUAAUUCGAAGCAACGCGCAGAACCUUACCAACCCUUGACAUGGGAAGUAUGGGCUUUCAGAGAUGAGGUCCCUUCAGUUCGGCUGGCUUCCACACAGGUGCUGCAUGGCUGUCGUCAGCUCGUGUCGUGAGAUGUUGGGUUAAGUCCCGCAACGAGCACAACCCUCAUCUUCAGUUGCCAUCAUUUGGUUGGGCACUCUGAAGAAAACUGCCGGUGACAAGCCGGAGGAAGGCGGGGAUGACGUCAAGUCCUCAUGGCCCUUACGGGUUGGGCUACACACGUGCUACAAUGGCGGUGACAAUGGGGAGCAAAGGGCGCGAGCCCGAGCCGAUCUCAAAAAAAGCCGUCUCAGUUCGGAUUGCACUCUGCAAACUCGGGUGCAUGAAGUUGGAAUCGCUAGUAAUCGCGCCAUCAGCCACGGCGCGGUGAAUACGUUCCCGGGCCUUGUACACACCGCCCGUCACACCAUGGGAGUUGGUUCUACCCGAAGCCGGUGCGCUAACCGCAAGGAAAGCAGCCGACCACGGUAGGGUCAGCGACUGGGGUG